UGAGGAAUAUUGGUCAAUGGGGCGCGAGCCUGAACCAGCCAAGUCGCGUGAGGGAGGACGGCCCUACGGGUUGUAAACCUCUUUUGCCGGGGAGCAACGGGCGUCACGUGUGGCGCCACUGAGAGUACCCGGAGAAAAAGCAUCGGCUAACUCCGUGCC
rnacentral:rRNA from 1 species